GGGAACAUAGCUCAGUGGUAGAGCUCGCACUUAGCAUGCAUGAGGUCCUGGGUUCAAUCCCUUGUAUUUCCA
rnacentral:tRNA from 1 species